rnacentral:rRNA from 1 species
AGCAGCCGCGGUAAUUCCAGCUCCAAUAGCGUAUAUUAAAGUUGUUGCAGUUAGAAAGCUCGUAGUUGAAUUUCGGGAUCAGUACGCUGGUCGUGCCUUUGGUAUGUACUGGUGUCACUGAUUCCUCCCUUCUGAAGAACCGUUAUGCCAUUUAUUUGGUGUGGCGGGGAAUCAGGACUGUUACUUUGAAAAAAUUAGAGUGUUUAAAGCAGGCUCGCGCUUGAAUACAUUAGCAUGGAAUAAUGAAAUAGGACGUUUGAUCUUAUUUUGUUGGUUUCUAGGAUCGACGUAAUGAUUAAUAGGGAUAGUUGGGGGCAUUAGUAUUCAAUUGUCAGGGGUGAAAUUCUUGGAUUUAUUGAAGACUAACUACUGCGAAAGCAUUUGCCAAGGAUGUUUUCAUUAAUCAAGAACGAAAGUUAGGGGAUCGAAGACGAUCAGAUACCGUCGUAGUCUUAACCAUAAACUAUGCCGACUAGGGAUCGGAUGAUGUUAUUUUUAAUGAAUCAUUCGGCGUACCG